AGAGUUUGAUCAUGGCUCAGAUUGAACGCUGGCGGCAGGCCUAACACAUGCAAGUCGAACGGUAACAGGAAACAGCUUGCUGUUUCGCUGACGAGUGGCGGACGGGUGAGUAAUGUCUGGGAAACUGCCUGAUGGAGGGGGAUAACUACUGGAAACGGUAGCUAAUACCGCAUAACGUCGCAAGACCAAAGAGGGGGACCUUCGGGCCUCUUGCCAUCAGAUGUGCCCAGAUGGGAUUAGCUAGUAGGUGGGGUAACGGCUCACCUAGGCGACGAUCCCUAGCUGGUCUGAGAGGAUGACCAGCCACACUGGAACUGAGACACGGUCCAGACUCCUACGGGAGGCAGCAGUGGGGAAUAUUGCACAAUGGGCGCAAGCCUGAUGCAGCCAUGCCGCGUGUAUGAAGAAGGCCUUCGGGUUGUAAAGUACUUUCAGCGGGGAGGAAGGGAGUAAAGUUAAUACCUUUGCUCAUUGACGUUACCCGCAGAAGAAGCACCGGCUAACUCCGUGCCAGCAGCCGCGGUAAUACGGAGGGUGCAAGCGUUAAUCGGAAUUACUGGGCGUAAAGCGCACGCAGGCGGUUUGUUAAGUCAGAUGUGAAAUCCCCGGGCUCAACCUGGGAACUGCAUCUGAUACUGGCAAGCUUGAGUCUCGUAGAGGGGGGUAGAAUUCCAGGUGUAGCGGUGAAAUGCGUAGAGAUCUGGAGGAAUACCGGUGGCGAAGGCGGCCCCCUGGACGAAGACUGACGCUCAGGUGCGAAAGCGUGGGGAGCAAACAGGAUUAGAUACCCUGGUAGUCCACGCCGUAAACGAUGUCGACUUGGAGGUUGUGCCCUUGAGGCGUGGCUUCCGGAGCUAACGCGUUAAGUCGACCGCCUGGGGAGUACGGCCGCAAGGUUAAAACUCAAAUGAAUUGACGGGGGCCCGCACAAGCGGUGGAGCAUGUGGUUUAAUUCGAUGCAACGCGAAGAACCUUACCUGGUCUUGACAUCCACGGAAGUUUUCAGAGAUGAGAAUGUGCCUUCGGGAACCGUGAGACAGGUGCUGCAUGGCUGUCGUCAGCUCGUGUUGUGAAAUGUUGGGUUAAGUCCCGCAACGAGCGCAACCCUUAUCCUUUGUUGCCAGCGGUCCGGCCGGGAACUCAAAGGAGACUGCCAGUGAUAAACGGGAGGAAGGUGGGGAUGACGUCAAGUCAUCAUGGCCCUUACGACCAGGGCUACACACGUGCUACAAUGGCGCAUACAAAGAGAAGCGACCUCGCGAGAGCAAGCGGACCUCAUAAAGUGCGUCGUAGUCCGGAUUGGAGUCUGCAACUCGACUCCAUGAAGUCGGAAUCGCUAGUAAUCGUGGAUCAGAAUGCCACGGUGAAUACGUUCCCGGGCCUUGUACACACCGCCCGUCACACCAUGGGAGUGGGUUGCAAAAGAAGUAGGUAGCUUAACCUUCGGGAGGGCGCUUACCACUUCGUGAUUCAUGACUGGGGUGAAGUCGUAACAAGGUAACCGUAGGGGAACCUGCGGUUG
rnacentral:rRNA from 1 species